GGGGGCGUAAAGGUUUCGACGGGGAUCAGGAAACAUUGUAAGCGAGCCGUGUGGGCGAAAACACGUUAAAAGUCGCACCUAAAUAUAAACGCUAAAAAGAAUACUUUUAGUACUCAACUCUGCGCAGCAUAAUUUAACUGCUGCCCGUUGCGCAUAGCCUGACCGCACGCGUUGCGCAAUGUUAUUUUUUGCGGUGAACUUUUCUGGCGGGCGCCUUGACGCUGGUAAGGUCUAACUGAGGCUACUGUAACAGAUGGCUUGUCUGCCGGCAGUCUGUUGCAGGAAUCUUUUUUGGCAGACUACGCUCGUAGAAAGCUUUGUGGAUGGAUUUUCGGACAGGGGUUCGAUUCCCCUCGCCUCCACCA
rnacentral:tmRNA from 4 species